UAUAGGUCUGAACGAUGAAGUCCUUCGGGAUGGAUUAGUGGCGCACGGGUGAGUAUACCAUAGAUAAUGUACCUCUUAGUUCGGGAUAGCCACUGGAAACGGUGAUUAAUACCGGAUACUCCUUCUCGUUAUAAGACGAGUCGGGAAAGUUUUUUCGCUAAGAGAUCAGUCUAUGUCCUAUCAGCUAGUUGGUGAGGUAAUGGCUCACCAAGGCUAUGACGGGUAUCUGGUUUGAGAGGAUGAUCAGACACACUGGAACUGAGACACGGUCCAGACUCCUACGGGAGGCAGCAGUGAGGAAUAUUGCACAAUGGAGGAAACUCUGAUGCAGCAACGCCGCGUGGAGGAUGACGCAUUUCGGUGUGUAAACUCCUUUUAAGAGGGAAGAUUAUGACGGUACCUCUUGAAUAAGCACCGGCUAACUCCGUGCCAGCAGCCGCGGUAUUACGGAGGGUGCAAGCCUUACUCGGAAUCACUGGGCGUAAAGGGUGCGGAGGCUGACUUUUAAGUCAGGCGUGAAAUCCAAUGGCUUAACCAUUGAACUGCGCUUGAAACUGGGAGUCUAGAGUUCAGAAGGGGCAGAUGGAAUUAGUGGUGUAGGGGUAAAUCCGUAGAUAUCACUAGGAAUAUCAAAAGCGAAGGCGAUCUGCUGGGAUGAUACUGACGCUGAGGCACGAAAGCGUGGGGAGCAAACAGGGUUAGAUACCCUGGUAGUCCACGCCCUAAACGAUGAAUGCUAGUCGUCGGGGUACUCGUUACUUCGGUGAUGCACUUAACAGAUUAAGCAUUCCGCCUGGGGAGUACGGUCGCAAGAUUA
rnacentral:rRNA from 1 species